rnacentral:rRNA from 1 species
GAUGAACGCUGGCGGCGUGCCUAAUACAUGCAAGUCGAGCGAACGGACGAGAAGCUUGCUUCUCUGAUGUUAGCGGCGGACGGGUGAGUAACACGUGGAUAACCUACCUAUAAGACUGGGAUAACUUCGGGAAACCGGAGCUAAUACCGGAUAAUAUUUUGAACCGCAUGGUUCAAAAGUGAAAGACGGUCUUGCUGUCACUUAUAGAUGGAUCCGCGCUGCAUUAGCUAGUUGGUAAGGUAACGGCUUACCAAGGCAACGAUGCAUAGCCGACCUGAGAGGGUGAUCGGCCACACUGGAACUGAGACACGGUCCAGACUCCUACGGGAGGCAGCAGUAGGGAAUCUUCCGCAAUGGGCGAAAGCCUGACGGAGCAACGCCGCGUGAGUGAUGAAGGUCUUCGGAUCGUAAAACUCUGUUAUUAGGGAAGAACAUAUGUGUAAGUAACUGUGCACAUCUUGACGGUACCUAAUCAGAAAGCCACGGCUAACUACGUGCCAGCAGCCGCGGUAAUACGUAGGUGGCAAGCGUUAUCCGGAAUUAUUGGGCGUAAAGCGCGCGUAGGCGGUUUUUUAAGUCUGAUGUGAAAGCCCACGGCUCAACCGUGGAGGGUCAUUGGAAACUGGAAAACUUGAGUGCAGAAGAGGAAAGUGGAAUUCCAUGUGUAGCGGUGAAAUGCGCAGAGAUAUGGAGGAACACCAGUGGCGAAGGCGACUUUCUGGUCUGUAACUGACGCUGAUGUGCGAAGGCGUGGGGAUCAAACAGGAUUAGAUACCCUGGUAGUCCACGCCGUAAACGAUGAGUGCUAAGUGUUAGGGGGUUUCCGCCCCUUAGUGCUGCAGCUAACGCAUUAAGCACUCCGCCUGGGGAGUACGACCGCAAGGUUGAAACUCAAAGGAAUUGACGGGGACCCGCACAAGCGGUGGAGCAUGUGGUUUAAUUCGAAGCAACGCGAAGAACCUUACCAAAUCUUGACAUCCUUUGACAACUCUAGAGAUAGAGCUUUCCCCUUCGGGGGACAAAGUGACAGGUGGUGCAUGGUUGUCGUCAGCUCGUGUCGUGAGAUGUUGGGUUAAGUCCCGCAACGAGCGCAACCCUUAAGCUUAGUUGCCAUCAUUAAGUUGGGCACUCUAAGUUGACUGCCGGUGACAAACCGGAGGAAGGUGGGGAUGACGUCAGAUCAUCAUGCCCCUUAUGAUUUGGGCUACACACGUGCUACAAUGGACAAUACAAAGGGCAGCGAAACCGCGAGGUCAAGCAAAUCCCAUAAAGUUGUUCUCAGUUCGGAUUGUAGUCUGCAACUCGACUACAUGAAGCUGGAAUCGCUAGUAAUCGUAGAUCAGCAUGCUACGGUGAAUACGUUCCCGGGUCU